CUGGAUUGUAAACUGCUUUUAUCAGAGAAGAAACCGCCUAUUUCUAUGGGCGUUGACGGUAUCUGAGGAAUAAGCACCGGCUAACUCCGUGC
rnacentral:rRNA from 1 species